rnacentral:rRNA from 1 species
UACGUAGGGUGCGAGCGUUGUCCGGAAUUACUGGGCGUAAAGGGCUCGUAGGUGGCCAACUAAGUCAGACGUGAAAUCCCUCAGCUUAACUGGGGAACUGCGUCUGAUACUGGAUGGCUUGAAUCCGGGAGAGGGAUGCGGAAUUCCAGGUGUAGCGGUGAAAUGCGUAGAUAUCUGGAGGAACACCGGUGGCGAAGGCGGCAUCCUGGACCGGCAUUGACGCUGAGGCGCGAAAGCCAGGGGAGCAAACGGG